rnacentral:rRNA from 1 species
CCUACGGGGUGCAGCAGUGGGGGAUAUUGCACAAUGGGGGAAACCCUGAUGCAGCGACGCCGCGUGGGUGAAGAAGCGCCUCGGCGCGUAAAGCCCUGUCAGCAGGGAAGAAAAUGACGGUAACUGAAGAAGAAGCCCCGGCUAACUACGUGCCAGCAGCCGCGGUAAUACGUAGGGGGCAAGCGUUAUCCGGAUUUACUGGGUGUAAAGGGGGCGCAGACGGUGAUGCAAGCCAGGAGUGAACGCCCGGGGCCCAACCCCGGGACGGCACUGGGAACUGCGUGGCUAGAGUGCAGGAGAGGAAGGCGGAAUUCCUGGUGUAGCGGUGAAAUGCGUAGAUAUCAGGAGGAACACCGGUGGCGAAGGCGGCCUGCUGGACUGCAACUGACGUUGAGGCCCGAAAGCGUGGGGAGCAAACAGGAUUAGAUACCCCUGUAGUC